rnacentral:rRNA from 1 species
UACAGAGACUGCAAGCGUUAUUCGGAUUCACUGGGCGUAAAGGGUGCGCAGGUGGCUAAGUGUGUUAGGCGUGAAAGCCCGGGGCUUAACCCCGGAAUUGCACCUAAAACUACUUGGCUAGAGCAUUGGAGAGGGGAGCAGAAUUCAUGGUGUAGCAGUGAAAUGCGUAGAUAUCAUGAGGAAUACCAGAGGCGAAGGCGGCUCCCUGGGCAAUUGCUGACACUCAGGCACGAAAGCGUGGGGAGCAAAAGGG